GAUGAACGCUAGCGGCAGGCUUAAUACAUGCAAGUCGAGGGGCAGCAUAAGUAGCAAUACUUGAUGGCGACCGGCAAACGGGUGCGGAACACGUACGCAACCUUCCUUUAAGUGGGGAAUAGCCCGGGGAAACCCGGAUUAAUACCCCGUAAUAUUAUGAUGUGGCAUCACUUUAUAAGUUAUAGAUUCAUCGCUUAAGAUGGGCGUGCGCCUGAUUAGGUAGUUGGCGGGGUACGGCCACCAAGCCUGCGAUCAGUAACUGGUGUGAGAGCACGACCAAGUCACACGGGCACUGAGACACGGGCCCGACUCCUAC
rnacentral:rRNA from 1 species